rnacentral:misc_RNA from 1 species
UCGCGGGUAAAAUUUACCCACAAAUUUACCGAUAAUAAACUAGAACUUAGAAACAUUAUUAAUAACUUUCAAUACUAUUUAUGAAAAGUUCAGAAAACAAAGAUGUUGAACACAACGGACAUCGGAAUCCAAGAAAUAAUAAAAGAUCUUGUGCCUUCAUGCGUAGUGAACGAAAUAGCAUGUUUCGUACUUUACGACGACCACCCGGCACAGAGAAAGAUAUGCGAUAUUACAAUAUGUACAAAGUAUGGAGAAGUUAAAGAAUACUAUAAGGGUGAAGAAGUAUCUUCCCUCUUUCUUGGCAGUGAAAUUCAGUUUACGAAGAUGAGUAUUGUCAGGAAUAGCCAAGGACAACUUUUCUACCUGUUAGCGUCACAGAGUGAAGUGAUAAUUUUAUCCAGAAAAGAGGAACUUGCAGUUCAUAAAAAAAUAUCAAACGUCGAUUAUUACGAUGUGAAUGAUAACGCGUGUAGAGGAGAAGCAUGCCUCAAAGUUGUCUUAAAAGAUGAUGCAGUGCCUUUAAUAUUUGAUGAUAAUUUUGAAAAUUUAGGUGAAAGAGCUGCGGCCUUAAGUGGUAUGCAUGUUGAUGACUCUUUGCCGAUACUCACUCAGCUGAAGAGGAAACUCAGUCAGGCUAGAUAUAGCAUACAAUGUAAUGAGAAGACUCGGGAAGAGUUUAGGGAUCUGAGGAAACUUACAGCGUUUACUGCAUCAAGGAAACUUCACCCGAACUUGGAUGAUUCCAUGAUUAGUGAAAGCUAUAAUGAGGUACCUGAGCAGCUGAUACUCAUAUCACAGACUCCAAGUGUUGCAGUGUGUAAUAAGAAUGUAGUGAUCACACUGAAUGUCAUUAAUAAAGGUAAACUGCCCCUCCACAACAUUGCCAUACUUCUCCACUCCAAACAACCUUCAACGGUCUACACCACGCAUCUAUUCCAACACACAACCAUCAGCCCCCACUGGAAAGAAGUUCACAAGCUACAACCGAAACAUACAGACAGCUAUACUAGCUGUUAUUGACUUAGCAGAACUACAAUAUAGCACAAGUAGAUUAGAAUUUGAUGGAGUGAUUUCAUAAGAGAGAUGGAAAAGAUUUCUUGAUGCCGUUUGAUUCAGUUGUGUUGUCGUAUGCUGAGUUUAUGGGGACACAGUAUGAUGUGCUAGCUAAUGAAAUUAAUGAAACCAGCAUCCUGCCGGUCCUGGCAACCACGAAAAAGUUAGACCUUUUAUUAAGAAUAAUAGACAACACGU